rnacentral:lncRNA from 1 species
AUUAGAUUGGGUAGACAAAAACCUAGUACGGUUAAAAGAAAUUGUCAAAAUAAGCUUGAUAUGUAUUUGAAAGAGCCAACGUUGAAUCUUGAUUACACAGAACAUUUGGAUGUACUACAAUGGUGGAAGAACACUAGACAUAAAUUUCCCGAGCUUUCUGUAAUGGCUCAAGACAUGUUAAGCAUUCCUAUUACCACUAUUGCUUCAGAAUCUUCCUUUAGUAUUGGUUCUAGAGUGCAUCUAAUAUUAUUGACCUUGAUGAUUAGGAUUUAGAUUUUAAAAUGCUUCACUCUUGUUUUGUUAGACAAUAUUAUGUAAUUUGAAUCAAUAAAUUUUGAUGUUGUCCUUAAUACUUAUUAUGGUUUUGAUUGGUUGAACUAAAACUUUUGGUUGGUUGAACUUGAACUUGAACUCUUGUUGAUAGUUUUAUUUUAGGUGUUUUUUUUUUUAUGAUUUUAGACUUUUAGUUGGUUGAAAUUGAACUUAAACUCUUGUUGAUGGUUAUAUUUUAGGUGAACUUAAACUCUAGUUGACGGUUCUAUUUUAGGUCCUAUAAAUCUAUUAAAAAAUAAAGAUUUUUUUAAAAAAAAGUAGGCGGUCAAGUUCGCCGUCCACCAAUCCAUCACCAUGGUGAUGUAGGUUAGAUUUUUAAAUCCAAUUUUAUUUGACAGACUUGUCAGUUUCGCCAUUUUUUUAACGGACUUAAGGCAAGACAAAACGAGAUUAGGCGAAUGAUCCAUUUUACCAUCCCUAAUUAUAGCAGCGUAAAUAAAUUUUUUAUCAUUGCAUUUGAGUCACAACCACAAUGUUAACUUGAUAUUUUCUAUCAAAACACCAUAAUUACAAACUUUAUGCUAAUAUGUAAUACGUAUGGUCUCUCAAUUCAUUCAGACAUAACAUUGAAGAAUCUCAACCAUUCUAUUAUUGAUUUCCAAACCUUGCUAUAAAAUUAGCAUUCACAACAUAAGAGGAUCAAAUGUCCAUGUAAGAACUUUUUUUUAUAAAGUCUUAAACUUUGCUAUAAAAUUAGCAUUCACAACAUUACAUGAUCAAAUGUCCAUGUAAGAACUUUUUUUUAUUAAGUGGAAUGACAUUAUUCUAGUGUUAUAAUAUUGAUAGUUUAAUUUAUUAUAAUUUAUCUUUUGAUCUAUAUAAAAUUUUCAUAUUAAUUUGGAAGUGAUAUUUUUGAAGAGUAAAUUCAAAAAUUUAUUUUCGACUAAUUAAGUCUAAUUAAGGAUCUGAAUCCUCUCUAAAAAAAAUGUACAAACUCAAUCAACAGUAAAUAUAAAUCAUAAGAUAAAUCUGAUUAAAAAAAUACAAAAUAAAAAUAAAUGGUAUAUUGCUACUAACAAUCACCAUUUGCAUUAACUAAAAAAAUCAACCCUAACAUUAUUUUUUCACCCCUACACAACUGUUCUCAUAUUUUUCAAAUACUUUAUUCUUUUAAUAAUUUCAUAUAUACUCUAAUUAAUAUAAUAUUUGUUUAUAAAAAAAACAGAAAUAUAUAUAUAUAUAUAUAUAUUAUAUUAUAUAAAUUUAUUGUGAAUGUGAGCAUGCAAAUCCUCUUUAAAAAAAUAUAUUAUUGUUGUGUAACUCAGUCUAAUAAAUAAUUAUUCGAGACAUUUGAUUACAGAUACAUGAAUUAGAAUUCGAGAUGAGUUUGAGAUACACAUCAAUCGGAGUGAAAUUUUAUUAACUUACUAGAUUUAAAAAAUGAUAAUGACUAGUUUAGGUAAGAAUGAAGGGAAUAAAUAAUAGUUAUUAAUUUAAAUUGUGUGAAUUUCAUGUAAAUAUGGUAAAAUAUUUGUAAAUUUUAACCAAGAAAAGAAUGGUUUGUUAAAUAAUCCGUGUUAAUCUUUUAUAUAAGAGAUGUUUUUUUUGAAUUCAUCAAAUAUAUAUAUUCUAUAAACCAAUUAAUUAUUCAAUAAAACUAAAAAAAAAUAAGCACUUCAUAUAUAAUCUAAUCUAAUCUAAUUCAUGAUUCAGAGGAGUAAAAGGUAUAAACAUAUAUAAUAAAAUAUGAUAUAAUAUAACAAAAAUUAAUUAAAAUAAGAGAAGAUACUCUAGAGGAACAACAUUAAUAAAUGUUUACAUUUUUCUACAUCAAAAUUGCAUAUCGCAUACUAUCAUUUACCAUAAUAUGAUUGAUCUCAGAAAUUUGUGCAAAUUCACCAGAAGUCCAAACGCCAUCAGAACCAUUAACACGAGGAUUAGAAACACAUGAUAGUAUAGAAAUUGGAGCUUGAAGAAUAGCAAAAAUAACACUCCACCCAUGUUGUCUUCUUGCUCUUUCACCUCCAAAUAUUGCUACUUCAACCCCCCUUUCUCCUCCUUCAUACAUGUUCUCAUCUGCCACCUUAGAACUCUUCUUCAUCCUAAUUGAUCUUCUCUCACUAAUGAUUAAUUUGAAGGAUAUUUUAUGUGAUGAACUUUGAAGAAGAAAUUGAUUAUAUUGAUUGAAAGGGUCAACAACCUCUCUAUUUAUGAGACUUGAUUGAUAAUAGUGGUAUUUAAGUGGUGAUGUUGCUAGUGCUUGUGUUUAUCACCAAAGGUUUUUAAGGGUAUCUUUUAAUAUAAAGAGCCAACCAACUAUCACUAGCAUAUUAUUAUUAUUAUUAUUUUUCAUUGGUAAUUAUAUAUGUAGGGUCUAUUCAUGCAAAACAUGCCGACAAACCUACCUAAUAGUAUUCAAUAUUUUUCCAAAUUUUGUGUUUACAACUUUACAUAUAAGAUUUGAUAUAUCUAUAUACUCCUUUACUAUUUUACAUAACAAAAAGGGUCAAGCUUUUUGAGGUAUAUAGUUCUAUUCAUUUUUUUGGUACAUAGCUAAAUGACAAAAAUGUGAGAUAUAGGUUAAGAUAUUAUAAAAAUAGUGAUGAUUCUAA